rnacentral:rRNA from 1 species
AACGAACGCUGGCGGCGCGCCUAAUACAUGCAAGUCGAACGAGAAGCUGUAGCAAUACAGUUGUACAGUGGCGAACGGGUGAGGAAUACAUGGGUGACCUACCCUCGAGUGGGGAAUAACCAGCCGAAAGGUUGGCUAAUACCGCGUACGCUUCCCAGUCUACGGGUUGGGAAGGAAAGCGAUGCCGUGGGUAUCGCGCUCAAGGUUGGGCUCAUGUCCUAUCAGCUUGNGGUGGGGUAACGCUCACCAAGGCAACGACGGGUAGCUGGUCUGAGAGGACGAUCAGCCACACUGGCACUGCGACACGGGCCAGACUCCUACGGGAGGCAGCAGUAAGGAAUAUUGCGCAAU